rnacentral:rRNA from 1 species
GACGAACGCUGGCGGCGUGCUUAACACAUGCAAGUCGAACGGAAAGGCCCUUCUUUUGUGGGGUGCUCGAGUGGCGAACGGGUGUGUAACACGUGUGUAACCUGCCCUUGACUUUGGGAUAACUUCAGGAAACUGGGUCUUAUACCGGAUAGGAGCUCCUGCUGCAUGGUGGGGGGUGGAGAUUUUCGGCGGUUGGGGAUGGACUCGCGGCUUAUCAGCUUGUUGGUGGGGUAGUGGCUUACCAAGGCUUUGACGGGUAGCCGGCCUGAGAGGGUGACCGGCCACAUUGGGACUGAGAUACGGCCCAGACUCCUACGGGAGGAAGCAGUGGGGAAUAUUGCACAAUGGGCGGAAGCCUGAUGCAGCAACGCCGCGUGCGGGAUGACGGCCUUCGGGUUGUAAACCGUUUUCGCCUGUGACGAAGCGUGAGUGACGGUAAUGGGUAAAGAAGCACCGGCUAACUACGUG